rnacentral:rRNA from 1 species
ACUUUUAACAAUGGAUCUCUAGGCUCUCAUAUCGAUGAAGAACACAGUGAAAUGUGAUAAGUAAUGUGAAUUGCAGAAUUCAGUGAAUCAUUGAAUCUUUGAACGCACCUUGCACCUUUUGGUAUUCCAAAAGGUACACCUGUUUGAGUGUCAU